AUGAGACCAGUGUUAGGAAUAACUCUUUGCCUUACUUUGGGUAUUACGGUUGAUGCCAAGUCCACACAGCCAGAUGCCAUGGAGAGUACUGAAGGAGAAACGGUGCAUCUGCCUUGUAACCACUCCACAAUCAGUGGAAGUGAGUACAUACAUUGGUAUCGCCAGACUGCCCACCAGGGUCCAGAGUAUAUGAUUCAUGGUUUAAAAGGCAAUGUGAGCGAAGGAAUAGCCAUUCUGAACAUUGCAGCAGAUAGAAAGUCCAGCACCUUGAUCCUGCCCCAUGUCACCCUGAGAGACUCCGCCGUGUACUACUGCAUCGUGAGAGAGCCACAGUGA